AGCGAAGAAAAUCAAGUUGUUUUUUAAUUCAAGCAUGUUGACUAACAGAAUGGAAGCCACUUCCAUGUACUACUUGGGCUUGAGUCUUGGCUCUGUCACUAACUAGUUGUGUGACCUUGGGCAGAUUACUU
rnacentral:miRNA from 1 species